UUAUCAGCCAAUAUCUGAUAAUGAAUAAAAAGAUGAUUUAUCAUUAUUAUAUGAUAGUGGUGAUGAAGGGUACAUUCCAAUUACUCUUUCAAUUGUAAUAAUACAGGCACAUUUGUCCCCUACAAAAAUCACCUGAAGAGGCAAAGUAAGAGGAGCAUGUGAUAGGUUGGGAAGUUUAAAAUCUACCUACUAAAAAUAAAUGAAUGUAUAAAUAUUUUCAGAGUGAGGUAGGCCAUUGCUUUUUGUUGUUGUUUGAAUUGAAUAUUGGACUUGCUCUAGAUAUAACAGCUACAGCCCCAUAGGAGAAUGUUCUCAUGUGGCUUAUUGCCUUUAAAAUAAUUUACUUGAAAAUCUU
rnacentral:lncRNA from 10 species